CCUAAAUAAGAUCCUUUUCAAUGGGGGAGGUGGUAUCGAUUUUUAGAGUACAAAAGUUGUCAUGACCAAUAAAUGAUUGCCACCCGUCCAAUGUCGUUGGGGAGCAAUGUGUCCACUAGCGUGUGUCAACGCGGCUCUGUCGAGGGCAACUGGUGUUUUCUAGAAUCCUUGACAUAUUGUCCUUUCAUUUGUACAUUAGUAUGUACUCACCAUCCCUAGCUAGUCUCAAACGCCCUCACCUUUCACUCAAGUGUACGCUCCAGCGCAUUGAUAUCGUCUCCGAGAUGGUGCCAUUAUGAGCCGACUUCACUCACCUGGCAAAAAAUGACUCAAUCGGACCAAUCAACCCAAACACACCCUAUGCCAGUUUUACUACAUACAAAUAGUCCCUCAAUCUUACGGGUGCAACAUUCAUUGCGGUUGGAAGACAGAACAAAUUUCUAAAGCGCCUUCUACAUUUCAUCUCCCCGAUUCAUUCCUUUUUUAUGAAAUAUCACAUUAUUUGAACCUUUAAAGCUUCCACCUUUCAAGUGAUGUCUCUCCUUUUUACACGCGUACUUCAGAGAUAAGGCGAUGUUUUCCUUGGGGAUUGUACUGAUCGUGACGUUUCAUAAUUGAGUUACAAUUCGUCUCUCUUUAUGGUGCCUGCACAUAUCAAAUGUAUUUAUCAAAAACUUCCUACUUACCUUUUUUUCCUUCUAUCAGACCUUCUCUCAAAAAAGAAAAAUUCUCCAGGACGCUCCUAACUAUAAUUUACCCCCCUCACAUAUUGCUGUCAUGUCUCACUCUUUAAGUUCUCAUCUUCUUCCUUCAACUUCAAAUAGUUUGUCUAGUGUCCAAAAAGAUGGCGGGUUCCCUUUUGACUCCACUAUGGAGAAAAUACCACUAAUGAUUUUGAGGCUCCUUUAAGAAAGAAAAGGAUACCAGGACCGUUGAGGGGAUUUCUUUUGUGGUUUAUUUGUCAUAUAUCUACUCUGUUCGUUCGACGUACUGAUGGUCCCCUAAUUUCAAUACUAAAGUUCCUUAUAUCAUGGAGAGGGUCGCUACCCAUAGACCUGACUUUAUUUUCAUGUACACGUUGUCGUUUUUCUUGGGAUUGGGUGAUCCCAUAGAUGACGGUUUCAUUUCAUUUGGCCCCACUUUCCAGCUAAGCUUGGGGCAACUUAGUUCUUGCCUAUAGAAAUUUGUUGCCUGCCUCAUGAUCCUGGCUAACUUAUCUGGCGCGUAGUUCACAUUCGCGAACCUCAUCUUGCUUUUUCUUCGAGGUUAACUCGAGAGGGUUUAGUAGAACCAGAGCCCACAACCCAUGUCCAUUCUAGGCUACUUGAGCGACUCCCCAGAAGUUUUGUGGUCGUUUCUACUGAGGAGUUGCCUGGAGUGACAAUCACUUUUACUUGGAAUGUGGCCUUUAAGUUCGUCACCUCACAUUUCUUCAAUUAUUAUUCAUUAAUGUUCGCUUCACUCACCUAGCCUUAUAUCUUUCUAGUGGCGUCCACCAACGAAUGUAAUCCUUACUCUAACUGGGACUUUCAGAGAACGGGUCUCGAGGAUCUUAUCGUUGGGAAGAACGUGAAAUUGGUCCACCUUAUUCCUCUUUUCAUAACUUGGCUUGCUUUCUCGAUAUUCUCAAUCAUAGUUAGGGAUUUUUCCUCCUUUUAUCUUCUUUUAUUUUUAUUUAACUCGUUCUUAUCUUUCAUUUCUUUCGCAAGUCCUAUAUUAAAAGAGGAUCUGAUUGUGUUCUCGUCAAUCAUUUAAAUUCUCCCGUACUUGAGAGACCCCAUGCCCUACCCACGCCUUAGCUUUCGGAGGUGAUCCUGAUCACCCGAGCGACUACUAGUAUAGUAAAAUGCUUCCGAGGUCCAAUCAGAGUUCUUACCCUUUGAUAGGGAAAUGAUCAGCCACAGAGUGGUGAUGAUAUAUGACUCAGAUGAGGUACAUUCUGAGCCUCCCAAGAUUCAAAUGGACGAUCCGUGCUAGGGGAACUUUAAUUCAUCCUAAGGAUGCAUCCGUUAUUGGUCCAAAGACUAUUUAGGGUCUUCCCCCAUUCUCUUGCAUCGUUCGCCCAGUGGGAGCCUCACUUCAGAAACCGUUCUAGCCUAGGACCCCAUACUUUCGUGAAUGACCCAGACAUGUUUACCGGUUAUUUUUUAGAUCCAAUGGGUGAGCCAUUAAUAUCUUAGAAAGUUUGUCUGUCCAUUCCCUCAGAUGUAAAUUUCUUGUCUAGGCCGGCCCGAGUACCCAAUCAUUGGUCUCUCCUGGUGAUAAAAGAAGUUAGAUGUUGUUCCAGUUGAAUGCCUAGCAAUCGAGAGUGUCCAUGCCUCAGCGCAGGACAACUUCUUGGCUGUGGAUAACCUGCAAUUGCAGCAAAAAGAAUGGAGUACAAUGGAGACGUGUUGUACUAUGCUAUAGAUUUGAGGCCUACUAAGUGACCAACCCUAGUUGGUUGAGUCCCUUUUACACACUAAUUCUGAGGUUGAUGCCCUCAAGCUAUAGAUUGAAGAUGUUAAACAAGAGAGGGAGACCUUUCAGAAGAUGGCCCAGUAAAGGCGUGUCGACAUUGAGAGAUUGGAUCAGGAGCGUACAGUGCAUUUUGGAUGAUUGGGGGCUACUUUAUUGAUAGGGCGAGUUACAAGUAGAGCUUCAUAGGGAACUCUAAGGAUCCUCCCCCAAUCCUUCGAACGAGGUUGGUCUGUUACAUCCUAUCGAGGUGCUGGAUUAUUUUGAGCUUCAUCGGCUUUGGAAGAAGAUUUGCUUGCACAUGACCGCAACUCAAAUGGCAGGAUCUUUCCAUUAAUGGGCUUCUCGUAUACUCCUCGCAUGAUAGUACUCAUUUCAAAACUACCCUUUCUGGAGUCAUGGCCUACUUCCCUGCAAAGUAAAACACAAAAGAAAACUGGAAAGAAAGAAAAAGCUAAAAAUCCACACAGUUGCUUUGGCCCCAUUGUGGGCGCCAAACUAUUUACCAUUUUUUUUGUACAAUUGAAAUUGUUCAUGAGUCAAGAGCACGUGUGUAAGACCCUGCAAAGUUUCCUCGUAGUCUAAGCCUUUAGAGCACCUUAUUUCA